UACGGAGGGUCCAAGCGUUAUCCGGAAUCAUUGGGUUUAAAGGGUCCGUAGGCGGUUUUGUAAGUCAGUGGUGAAAGCCCAUCGCUCAACGGUGGAACGGCCAUGAUACUGCAAGACUUGAAUUAUUAGGAAGUAACUAGAAUAUGUAGUGUAGCGGUGAAAUGCUUAGAGAUUACAUGGAAUACCAAUUGCGAAGGCAGGUUACUACUAAUGGAUUGACGCUGAUGGACGAAAGCGUGGGUAGCGAACAGG
rnacentral:rRNA from 1 species